rnacentral:rRNA from 1 species
AGAAUCAACGCUGGCGGCGUGCCUAACACAUGCAAGUCGAACGAGAAAGUGGAGCAAUCCACGAGUAAAGUGGCGCACGGGUGAGUAACACGUGACUAACCUACCCUUGAGUGGGGGAUAACCUAGGGAAACCUGGGCUAAUACCGCAUAAUACCUUCGGGUCAAAGGAGCAAUUCGCUUAAGGAGGGGUCGCGGCCGAUUAGUUAGUUGGCGGGGUAAUGGCCCACCAAGACUGUGAUCGGUAUCC